UACGUAGGGGGCAAGCGUUGUCCGGAAUCAUUGGGCGUAAAGCGCGUGUAGGCGGCCUUGUAAGUCCGUUCUGAAAGCCCGGGGCUCAACCCCGGGAGGCGGAUGGAUACUGCAAGGCUCGAGUACGAAGAGGCGAGUGGAAUUCCCGGUGUAGCGGUGAAAUGCGUAGAUAUCUGGAGGAACAUCGGUGGCGAAGGCGGCAUCCUGGACCGGUAUUGACGCUGAGGCGCGAAAGCCAGGGGAGCAAACGGG
rnacentral:rRNA from 1 species